rnacentral:rRNA from 1 species
AGCUUUGAUCCUGGCUCAGACGAACGCUGGCGGCGUGCUUAACACAUGCAAGUCGAACGAAGCUAUUUGGGUAGCUUGGCUACUGGGAUAGACUUAGUGGCGGACGGGGUGAGUAACACGUGGGUGACAUACCUGGGAGACAGGGAUAACAGUUCGAAAGGGCUGCUAAUACCUGAUAAUCCCAUAAGUUUACGGAUUUAUGGGCAAAGCGUUAUGUAGUGCUUCCAGAUGGGCCCGCGGCCCAUUAGUUAGUUGGUGGGGUAAAGGCCUACCAAGGCGAUGAUGGGUAGCCGGUCUGAGAGGAUGGACGGCCACACUGGGACUGAGAACGGCCCAGACUCCUACGGGAGGCAGCAGUGGGGAAUUUUGCGCAAUGGGGGCAACCCUGACGCAGCGACGUCGUGUGAGUGAUGAAGGCUUUCGGGUCGUAAAGCUCUGUCUACGGGGAAGAUAAUGACGGUACCCUGUGGAGGAAGCCCCGGCGUA